rnacentral:rRNA from 1 species
UCGUGCCUACGGGGCGCAGCAGUGAGGAAUAUUGGUCAAUGGGCGGAAGCCUGAACCAGCCAAGUCGCGUGAGGGAUUAAGGCCCUAUGGGUCGUAAACCUCUUUUGUCAGGGAGCAAGGCCUCUCACGUGUGGGAGGUUGGAGAGUACCUGAAGAAAAAGCAUCGGCUAACUCCGUGCCAGCAGCCGCGGUAAUACGGAGGAUGCGAGCGUUAUCCGGACUUAUUGGGUUUAAAGGGUGCGUAGGCGGGACCUUAAGUCAGCGGGAAAAUUGCGGGGCUCAACGCCGUAGA